rnacentral:tRNA from 1 species
CUGGAAAACAGCAAUCCAAUUUGAACGCUCACACUUAUCGGUUGUGGAAGGAUCGUCGCCAGCGGCCUGGGUUUGCCUGGUCACUCCGCGGCCGGCUUGGGUCUGUAGCUCAGUUGGUUAGAGCACCGUCUUGAUAAGGCGGGGGUCGUUGGUUCGAAUCCAACCAGACCCACCAUCGAUUCGCGCGGGGCUGUAGCUCAGCUGGGAGAGCAUCUGCUUUGCGAGCAGAGGGUCAGCGGUUCGAUCCCGCUCAGCUCCACCACGCAUCGUGGCAACUCAAGAAAGUCAAGACGCAAGCGCCGAGGCGGGAUUCGGUGCUUUCGUCUUGGUUUUAGUGGCUGUUUGUUCUUUAACAAAGUGGAAGAAGGUCAUGCAUGUUCAUCACAAGAUGAGCAUGUAUGGGUUGUGAUUGCAUCAUGCCCACAUCAUCCUUUGAACCAGCGAUGAAGUGGGCGGAAAUUUGCGCUGAGAGCAAUUUGUAGCCGGAACUUUCGGGCAACCGAGAGCGCAAGGUUAUAGGAUCAAGCGACUAAGUGCAUGUG